rnacentral:rRNA from 1 species
CCACUAUCCAGUUCAGAAAAAUUGUCCCUUACAGAAGGGCAGCCCUUGGGUCAAGAUGACAGUACAAGAUAUAGGUGUCUGGUAGGUGCACUUCAAUAUUUGACACUUACACGGCCUGAUAUCUCAUUUGCUGUUAAUAAGGUCUGUCAGUUUCUUCAUGCACCCACCGCAGUCCACUGGACUGCUGCAAAGCGUAUAGUUCGAUAUGUCAAGAAUACUCUCAAUAUUGGUUUGAAUUUCAGUAAGUCAUCAUCUACACUUUUGAGUGCUUUCUCAGAUUCUAACUGGGCAGGCUGCCUGGAUGACAGGCGGUCCACUGGUGGCUUUGCAGUAUUUUUGGUCCCAAUUUAA